rnacentral:rRNA from 1 species
CACACGGUAAACGAUGGAUACUCGCUGUUGGCGAUAUACGGUCAGCGGCUUAGCGAAAGCGUUAAGUAUCCCACCUGGGGAGUACGCCGGCAACGGUGAAACUCAAAGGAAUUGACGGGGGCCCGCACAAGCGGAGGAACAUGUGGUUUAAUUCGAUGAUACGCGAGGAACCUUACCCGGGCUUAAAUUGCACUGGACUUUCCCGGAAACGGGAUUUUCUUCGGACCAGUGUGAAGGUGC